GUGUCAUCCCUCCGCCUCUUCUGCCCUGCAUAUCCCUCCUGAAGAGCCUGUAACUGUCCAACAGGGCACUCCAGUCAUAGGACUCAUCCCGUCAGGGGAACCAGACAGAGGUUACAGAUCAAUACAAGCUACCUAAAGUCUAAACAGAGACCAAGACACAGCCUUCCCACAAAAAACACCUUCAAACAACCCAGCUCUGGCUCUUGUUGCCUCCAUUGGAGCUGCUGGAUAUUCAAAUGCUUGGGAAGACAGCUUAUAUUCAAGCAGCCAGUGAUGGAUUUAAGUGCUUUGCUCUGUGUUUGCAGUUGGAUUUUCACAUGCUGCUUUCUUUCCUGAGAUGUGCUGGGGCUACAGGGAACUCUUUUUAAAUGGGCGUAGAAAUGGUAAACACAAGUGGAAGAAGGGUUUCUGCCCCAGUAUC